ACGGCGAGUGAAGCGGCAACAGCUCAAAUUUGAAAUCUGGCUCUAGGGCCCGAGUUGUAAUUUGUAGAGGAUACUUUUGGUGAGGUGCCUUCCGAGUUCCCUGGAACGGGACGCCAUAGAGGGUGAGAGCCCCGUCUGGUUGGAUACCGAGCCUCUGUAAAGUUCCUUCGACGAGUCGAGUAGUUUGGGAAUGCUGCUCUAAAUGGGAGGUAUAUGUCUUCUAAAGCUAAAUAUUGGCCAGAGACCGAUAGCGCACAAGUAGAGUGAUCGAAAGAUGAAAAGCACUUUGAAAAGAGAGUUAAAAAGCACGUGAAAUUGUUGAAAGGGAAGCGCUUGUGACCAGACUUGGGCUUGGUUAAUCAUCCGGCGUUCUCGCCGGUGCACUUUUCCAGCUCAGGCCAGCAUCAGUUUGCUUCGGGGGAUAAAAGUUUCGGGAAUGUGGCUCCUUCGGGAGUGUUAUAGCCCGUUGCAUAAUACCCUGGAGCGGACUGAGGUUCGCGCAUCUGCA
rnacentral:rRNA from 1 species